AUGCAGAGGUGAUUUUUGGUAUUGCUAUAGAUAGAUAUAUUGGGGACGAUAGUAUUUUUAAC
rnacentral:sRNA from 1 species